rnacentral:lncRNA from 1 species
UCACAGUCAGCAGGUGCCCUGCGGCUGCAGGGAGCUCACUCUGCCCGUUUCCUGUUGCACACAUUGCUUUUAAGAUUCCUGAGCUGAGGGCGGUCUUCUCUGCCAGGGUGUUGUGUUGGCCUUGGGGUCACAUCGUUCCACGUUGGACACAGUGGUCCUCGAGUGACCCUGUGCUCACGGGGACAAAUGUAACUGGUGUGAGGAAUAAGUGAAACAAGUAUAAGAAAAGACUUGGAAAAUCCACUAAUUUUUUUUCCUUCCGAAUAUAAGAAACACUGAAAAGAAGAGGUCUUUGUGCGAGGCAGUUCUCCCCCUUGUCAUUUCUCUGGCUUGUCUGAGUGUGGGAGUGGAAUGGAUCUGUACAAAGCAGAGGACGAAUUGGCUUCUUUAACCAGAACCAGAGGCAGCGCACCUGGCCGGGCGCCCGAAGCAUCACCAGGCUCCUGUGAAAGGCCUGCCCCUCCGGAUUUCCAGCAAGUUCAUCGCCGUGACGUGGAGACUGCACUGGCCACUGGCCCUGCUUGCUGUCCACCCAGCUCGGUGCUGGGUCGGCAGGACCGCCUUGUGUACCGGAGAGUAGCUCAGGACGGCUCUGCCAGCCGUCCAGACGAACGAGGCGCAUCGCGUUCUCUUCCCAACUGGACACAGAGGAGGGGAGGGAAGUGUUUGUGGCAGAGAGAAGUGCUCCGAGGCUCCCUGACCUGCAAAGCUCCCGAAGAGCGAAGAGUGCAAGCUGUCUGCUAGGUGCUGCCAGGAGGUUGGGUCUGCAUUUCGACUCACAGCUCCAUCAGAACCAUCACGCCCUCGGGAAGACCGACUUGGAGAAGUGAUCUUUCCAAGGUGGCAGGGGGACAUGGAGCCACCCCUCCCUUCCAGGCAUGGAGCAGCCGCUGAAGCGCCUCCAGGGUGGGGCACACACAGGGUCCUCUCCUCUCACCCCAGCUUGGUUCUCCAGGAGUGGGCAUCUCCUCGGGGACGCUGGUGACGUCUGGAGGCAGUUUCGAUCAUCAGAGCCUGGGGGUCCGGGGCUCCUGCUCCCAGGACUCCUGGAGGCAGUGUGGGUGCUGCUGAGUGCUCAGAGGGGCCCACGCUCAGCACCAGAGGCCUCAGGGUGAGAAGCCCCCGGCACAGUGAAGCACGCCCUCCCAGCCGGCGUGUCUCCCCCAGGGCAGCCCCUUCAGGCUUUCUGCUCCCCAGGGGCUGGUCCAUCCCUCCAGGAACCUUCCUGGGUCGGCGGCAGGCAUGCGGGGACAAGGCUCACCCACAGAUGCACGUCUGUGCUCACUCGCCCGCCACCCAGCCCAGAGGCAGCACCCACGACCAUUCACUAUCAACCAGUAGCCUUGGGGGUCCCCUGGUGGGCCACUCCACGCUUUCUACAACAGACAGGAUGGUGGGGCACUUCCCAUCAUGGGUGCAGCCCCCGACCUGCCCAGGGACCCUCCUUGUCUGGCCAGCAACCUCCUCACUCUUCCUUUCUGAGAAGACAAGACAUCAAUCACUCCCCAGAGCCUCCCUCGGAAAAUGAGCGAAGGACGCCGGGCUGGGCUGAGUGACAGAGGACGGCGCGGUGCUGACGUGCGACAAAGCCUCGCCAGCACCGUGACGGCAGGUCGGUGCAGCCAGCAAACUGCCCGCAAGGGCAGACUGUCUCGGCGGGAUCAACCACCCCCUGGAAAACAAUUUCACACUAGAAUAAACAGCAGAGUGAAGUAAUAAAUGCGUCGCA